rnacentral:rRNA from 1 species
UACGUAGGGUGCGAGCGUUGUCCGGAAUUAUUGGGCGUAAAGAGCUUGUAGGCGGUUUGUCGCGUCUGCAGUGAAAAUCCGGGGCUCAACCCCGGACUUGCUGUGGGUACGGGCAGACUAGAGUAUGGUAGGGGAGACCGGAAUUCCUGGUGUAGCGGUGGAAUGCGCAGAUAUCAGGAGGAACACCGAUGGCGAAGGCAGGUCUCUGGGCCAUAACUGACGCUGAGAAGCGAAAGCAUGGGGAGCGAACAGG